GAGAAGGCAGGCAGGCGCUGCGUCGAGUCGGGACGGACCAAAUAUUAUUAACUCUCAACGGUCAUAAUCCGAUUUUUUUUUUUAAUUAAGCAUCUAAAAAUAACAUAAUAAAUGAAAAUUUGAUAGAAGGGUAAAAAAAUAGGGCCGAUUGAUGGCGCCUUCAGGGGGUUGGGCCGCGUAGCGGCCAGGGGGCGGACCCCUAGUAAAUAAAUAUACACUAAGCGGCAACGUUACCUAGCAAACGGUACAAGGUACCGUCUGAUUGGUCGGUUCAAAAAUUGUUGUUGUGAUGUGAAUAAUGCGCGUGGUGCAAUGCAAUGGCCGUUAUCCGUUAUCAAAUCAAUUCAUCCAGCUAAUUCCAGCAAUCCAGCAUCAGUCCUGCAGUUCCACAUUGCAGUAAGGCCAGGUUCUGUUUGCCUCGCUUUUUAUUUUUUUUUUUGCAUUAGUUUUGUAAAUUGUAGGAAUCGAGAAUUUUCGGUUGCAGGAAAUGGGGCAUGCAGAAGUCUGAUCAUCUGGAAUUGAUGUCAAUACAACUCUAAGAUGGCAGCCGUAUCCCAAUUCUUAGAGUUUACUCCCCCACCAAGGCCAAACAAAACAAAAGGUCACCCAGAAGAUGAGACUCCAUUGGUUCUUGUUCUGGCACCAUUCAACCCACCUGCUAAAAUUUUCUUUGAGGAGACCAAACUUAAUGAAACGAGAACAAAAUCUGUCAUCAUUCGAAAUCCUGGAGCUGUACCAUUACAUAUCAUUCUUGACAAACUCCCAGAGCCAGAUGCAGGCCUGAUCUUGAGUGAAUCGAUUUUCACGGUACCAGCAUGUGCUCAAGAAACAUUAAUUUUAACAUGGCAGCCAGUUAAAUCAGAUGGAUUUCGCCAUGUGGUGCAUGUGAAGGAUGCGAAAAAGAAUAAAAAAAUCUCAGAAAUAAUUGUGACCGGGACGUGUGUGUCGCCAAUCAAGAAAAAAGGUCGUGUUGGCAAAAAACUAGCAUCUCUACGCACAAAAGUCCUGUCGAACCGUGUGGUUGUAACUUCACCAAAAAUAGCAGCACCGAAGCAGCGUAUGCCGCUACGCAACAAAGAACAGAUCAAUGCUGUGUCAAAUGAAAACACGUUCCUAGUGGCAGAAAAGCGACCGCACACUGCAGAAGACAAAGAAAAUGCACCCAGCCCAAAGAAGAAACCAGCAAAGCAGUCAGCAGGUUGCCGUCAAACCUUCCUUGGGCCACCCCCAACUUUUGAUUCACACCGCAAACGCAAGGCGCCUGUAAUGGAGGGUCCGCUUGAAGUCGCUAUGUGUCUCAAAGAACAGGAGCCGCAACAGGAACCACCUCGUCGCUCAAUGCGGCGAUCUACAUAUUCUCUUAAUUCGCCUGGAAGCAAUAGUCUCCUGACGGUUGCGCAAGCCUCAGAGCAACGGUCCAACUCUCCUCAACAGUAUCAGCAUAUUAUUUCUCAACCAGCUCAGUUACUGGAAAAUAGAAAAGAUAGAAUUUCAAUUGAUAGUCUAGAAAUUUGUACAUCCAUCAUAUCAGAUGAUGUCUUCUCAUUUCGUGACUCACUGGAUAGCAAUCCUGAUGCAAACAGAUCAAUUGAUCGAGAUUCACUAGAUGCUGUUGUUACCCCGUCAGCCUGUGACAGGUCUCUGCGUAGCAGGAACCCCUCUGUCACAGGGGAUGCCUCUAAAUCAAACAUCGUCAGUCCAACUUAUGCAGAUUUUACAAUUUUAGCUGCUAAAGGAAAAAGUCUUGAAAAUUCUAUCAAUUCAAAAGACCUUGAUUUUACUCGAAAAAACUCCACCUCCAUAGAAAUUUCAGAACCCUGUGCCAAAAGUUCUCCUCUUCUAAGCCAUGCAGACCGACUUUCCAUUGAGAGGAGCCAUGAAAGAUGGGUCAGUCCAGGAAACAAAGGCUUCAGUGCACUUCCACCAUUACAAUUUUCACCAAGUUUCGAUAUGAAAAAUUGUACAUAUGUUAUGGCCCCGAAAGAUAAUGAGACAAAAGCACAUAAUUUGUCCUACACGAUUAUAGAUGAAAGUAAUGAAGAGCUCAGUGAUCUGCACUUGAAAACACCAGUACUCAGCACGCCAAUACAGAGAAAAGGUGAGGAUGUUAUGAUAACACUUCAACAACCAGCAGAGGUUAAUUCUUCAAGUUCUAUGCAUGGAUACAAUCUCAGAGAGUCGGAAGGAAAAACCCCAGCCAAGAAGAGGGUUCUUGAUAAGUCGAGGAAUCAUUCCUUUGAGGCUUUAGAAGUGUGUAGCCCAGAUGAUUUCAAACUAAAAACUCCUCAGCUGAAUACACCUGUCAGUGCAAGGAUUCAAGAAUUAGAAGCCAAAACUGUAUUCGAUUCAGACAUUAAAGUUCGUAAAAGCUUGCAAAAUAGUCUAAAAACACCUCAAUUGAGGACACCUUGCAGUGGUAGAAAAAAGUGGAGUGCUAACUUCAACAAAGAACCAAUAAAAACACCAGGAACACCUGAUUGGGUUAAAGUCCAUACAGAUGUAACAGAUUCCAAAAAUUGUUCUGGCCCUUCAACAGAAAAUUUGGAUGCUCCGAGUCCCAGCGCUUUCAAACUCAACACACCACAGAUAGAGACGCCUAGAAGUAAAAAGGCCAGCGAAUCCACUUCCACUGGAAGUCAUCCUACUUUAAAAACUCCACAACUAAGAACUCCGCGAAGUAACAGGAAAAGCCUAGUCAAAGAAAUCGUAGAUAAUUUCAGUCUUUAUGAGCUGCAAGAAUCCCCAUUCUGUAGUUCUAAAUCUCUUCUAUCAAAGGUUAAGACUCAAGAAAAGCCUGGAAUUCUGGAAAUUUCUCCCCCGAAAAAAUCUAAAAUGGACCCGCAAUUGUCGGAUGAGCCCAAAAAGCAGCAGUGCUAUCCUACUCGAGUUGUAGCAAAAAGUAUUACCGCUAGACAAGUCAUGUCACCAACAACCCGUCUCAAGCGGCUUGUCGCAGCACACAAAUCUGCAACGCCUAAGGCAAAAAUCGCCGAGCCAAAACCUGCUCCCUCCAAACGACCCUCACAACAGUUAAAACCAGCUGCAAAACCAGCGCAGAGAUACACUGGUGUUCCUAUGGCCACUCUUAAACUCAAACCUCAGGGACGUAAAGCUGAGCAAGAUCAGUCUCAGGCCACUAAGGAUACUGUUUUCAAAAAACCUGUCGGAAAGAAUCUGAAUUCUGCACCACGACUCACGCGUUCUGCAACACUGUCUUCUUUGAAAAAACCCUUAAAAACUCCUCCUGAAAAUUUAAAGAAUAAAAAAGAAUUAGAGCAGAAAAUGACCCGUUCUGCUUCUGCAUCUUCUAUGAAAAACUCUGCGAACAAGAUGCAAGCAGCAAAUGAGAAAAUUUCUCGUUCUGCAUCUACCUCAUCGCUAAGAACAUCUUCAGAUCAGGCACCCUCAAAAAAACUUAUGGGAGAGCAACAGCCCCAACUUGGGUCCUCUGCAUCAUUGAAAAAAGCUUAUCUUUCUAACCCUGACCAAUACCUGAAAUCACUAUCGCAACCUGCAGAUUAUCUCUUUCUCUAUGCAGCAACAUCUAAAGUUGAUCCAUUCUUGACAAACUCACUCUACUACGACCCAGAGUGGCUGGACCGGCAGGAAGCGGACUUAAUUAAAUGGCUGAACUCAUUGCUGACCCCGCCAGCAGAGCUCGACUCUGAUUCUGGAGGUCAUUGGCGGGUUGAUGUUGCAGCCUUGUGGAAAAAUCUCAAUCACAGAAACUAG
rnacentral:lncRNA from 1 species